rnacentral:rRNA from 1 species
AUGGCCGCCUCAUUCAAUCCAGAAGCUCAUGGGAUGCAAGGCACACCACACCUUGAACCUCAUGGACCCAGAUCCGCCAUGGUCGCCCGGGGCUUCUUCAACAUCAGCCUCCAUGGUGGUCCUGCUCCGUGCCGUGCCAACCCAGGGGGCGCGAUGGAGGGAUUCGCGCCGUCGAAGGAGAUGCUCACGCGGCGGCUGCUUCUGCUCGCCCGUUGCCCACGCCAUGGCAGGAAGGAGGAAGAGACGCGGAAGGAAGGAGGAACAGGCCGUUGUUGGACUCCACGGAGACGCUCCUCUUCCACUCCCUCAUCCCCCAAGCCUAUUUCAUUCAUUCAUUCAUGCCUAGACGAUUGUCGAGUCAUAUACUCUAGAGACCACCAUGUGGUUUGCGCGGGGGAGAACUUCACCAGCGAGUCUGUUGGUGUGAGGCCUACUUCAACUGCAAAAGGCUCCCAACGUGUUUCGGUUGAAGAGAGCAUCCUUGCAUCUCUUGGGUCAUUCCAGCAAAUGUGGUUCUUCAAAGCCAAGCAAGUAUGA